rnacentral:snRNA from 1 species
AAGGGUUACAGUUCUUUUAGAAUUUGUCUAGCAGGCUUUCCAGUCUAUGCGAAAAGGCCCCC